rnacentral:rRNA from 1 species
AAGAGUUCACAUCGACGGGGAGGUUUGGCACCUCGAUGUCGGCUCAUCGCAUCCUGGGGCUGUAGUCGGUCCCAAGGGUUGGGCUGUUCGCCCAUUAAAGCGGUACGCGAGCUGGGUUCAGAACGUCGUGAGACAGUUCGGUCCCUAUCCGUCGUGGGCGUAGGAAAUUUGAGAGGAGCUGUCCUUAGUACGAGAGGACCGGGAUGGACAUACCUCUGGUGUACCAGUUGUCGUGCCAACGGCAUAGCUGGGUAGCUAUGUGUGGACGGGAUAAGUGCUGAAAGCAUCUAAGCAUGAAGCCCCCCUCAAGAUGAGAUUUCCCAACUUCGGUUAUAAGAUCCCUCAAAGAUGAUGAGGUUAAUAGGUUCGAGGUGGAAGCAUGGUGACAUGUGGAGCUGACGAAUACUAAUCGAUCGAAGACUUAAUCAAAA